CUGGAGCUGGGACUUGAAAACCAGGAAAUUAGAAACUUUCUUCCUUAGCAAUUUAAACAUCUGGCCUGCAUGUUCUACUUAAGUCUGAGCUUGUCUUUAAUGGAGAAUAUCUAUCAUUCUUUACU